GUGAGGCAGCAGGCAAGCAGCACCAAGUUGCUGUGUAAGCAGGAAGUUGCCCUUGAUGAACUUCCCAUCUGAGCUGAUGGCCUUGGCAGGAGAAGUGCUCAGCAAGGAGGCUCUUUGCUCCUAGGCAGGAAGAAAGGCCAGUGCCCUUCCUCCCCAAGGCCCAGCCCAGCAGGGCUGGCAGGAGCUGCUGGUGUGGCUGCUCUUUGGGUUCUCAGCUGUGCCCGUGGGGUGGUGACAUCGUGUUCCUGCCUGUGCUCCAGGGCAGCCAAAAGCCCAGCCCAGCCCCUGGGCCUUUCUGGGAGCCUGAGCUAUUGUAGUACUGGGGAGGGGGGUUUGGGGUUUUUUUCCCUGAAAGUAGAACUAUAGGGGGGAUCUCUUAUCUCACAGUUGUUGUUUUUUUGAUGUCUUAAUUAAUUACAACUUUAGAAGAAAACCUUGUGUAACUUAGGAACUGACUUGCACUGGUUCCACUGAAAGUGCCAAGGAGUUGUAGUGUCCACUGGAUUGUUUGUAUUGAAGCAGUUUGAUGUUUACAGAGGGAUAAUAACUCCUGUCAGCAGCAAGGUCCUGACUGAAGUGGCAGCUGCAGUUGUUCCUGUCGUGUGGGCCAGUGGAAUUCCAGCAAAUGGACAAGGACAGAACCUGUAAGAAUUACCCCUAAGCCAGAGUCUCUCCUGGUAAGGCAAACCCAGUAUCCUCUAGAAUUAGGAAGCCAAGCUGGAUUGGUUCUAGUAAGAGCUAAAUUUGCUGCUGAUGGUUUGAUAGUAGAAUGUGAAUGCAAGGAGCUGUAAA